UACAGAGGUGGCAAGCGUUGUUCGGAAUUACUGGGCGUAAAGGGCGCGUAGGCGGUUCGUCAAGUCCUGUGUGAAAUCCCCCGGCUCAACUGGGGAACUGCACAGGAAACUAGCGGGCUUGAGUUCGGGAGAGGGAAGCGGAAUUCUCGGUGUAGCGGUGAAAUGCGUAGAUAUCGAGAGGAACACCUGCGGCGAAGGCGGGUUGCUGGGCUGAUACUGACGCUGAGGCGCGAAAGCCAGGGGAGCGAACGGG
rnacentral:rRNA from 1 species